GUGUCAUAAUUUACCAAAUGACGCUUUAUGACAACAGUCAAAUAUUCAUGAAGACAUUCAUGUUGACAGGAGUUAUGUCGUGUUUAUGAUGAUGUCAUGUCAGUCUAAUUCACACCAAUUCAAAUAAAGUGUUACCGAAAAAGGUUUUCAGACAACAAGUACUUAAAACAAACAUGUUAGAUUGAGAUAUUUUGACAGUUUUUAGUUCCAGUUCAUCAAAAUACCUAAUCACCAAGAGAAAUAAACUGAUGUAUGAAGGUUACAUACUGUACAUACUUACAAGUAUGAACUGAAGAGAGACAAGAUGGGAGUGUGUGGGUGCAACAUGGUGGUACUAAGUGAAAAGAAAAAUGAAAUGUGACCACUAUUAACAUUUUUGUAACCAAUUAACACAUUUCUUGUUAAGUAAUUUUGUUCUUUGAUAUAUUAUUAAACAACUGUUAUGACAAACUGUUAUGGAACAAAGAUAUCCAACUAAAAAAGUCACAUAAAUGCAAUUUAAAAUGCCCCAAUGUCAAGAUAAAUAGAAACUAAUUAUUUCCACUUCCCAGUUAUGUACUGCUUUGUGCUACUUUGACAUAAAACCCGAAUAAAACAGGCAGCCUUAUUUUAUUUUAGGACUAGGACUGAAAUUAUGUCUGAAAUAUGUUGAUCAGUUUUUAAUACCCAGCAAUAUGCAGAAAAUAAUUGCAACACAAGUUAAUCUUGAAUGAGAUGCUACUGUGCCCGUUGCUGUUUUCCAACAGUUUGAUCAAAAUCAAAAGAACAGUUAAUUAGAUUUACAUUGUUUGUUUGUGACUGUACAGAAUGUCCCUUAACUGUUAUUGUUGUGGCCAAAGCACGUUUAGCUGAUUUGAAAAGAGAUCACAGGCCAGAUCAAAGCAAAGCCAGUGAUGCAACGUCAUUUAGAAAGCCAGUCAUAACAUCUCCACCCUAAUCACUGACGUCUUCCUGCACAACCAAUGUGUACAUCAGCAAAGCUGUGCCAGAGAAACAAAACAGCUAACAGAUCAUUUUAUAGAUGGAAACAUGCUGCCAUUGACCCCAGCACAGAUAAACUGACUUGUAUAUGUCACACAUGGACUCAUGGUGUUUACAUCAGGCUCUGUCCUUAGAGACAGAGACAUGAGGAGGGCAGGGCUUCCUGAACGCACCUAUACAAACAAACAUACGUCUAACUGCACAUGUCUUCCAUUUUAAUCAGCUAAUGUUCCCAGGAAUGAGCUGGUACUUACAUGCAUCUACACUUUGAUUUGACCGUUGUGUGAGCAUGACAUUCGUAGUUAUUUAUGUGGAUUGUUGAGACCAAUAUUUACCUUGCAAGAAGUAAUCCAACACCAUGAACCUAUCCAGAUUACAACCAAACAUUAAAUGUAUUUCUUCAUGUAACAGAUCAACACAAAGUGGAGCAUAAAUCUGAAGAGAAAAUCAAAUUAUGAAGAAGUCUGAAAAAUGUGCCAUGCAUUUGUUCUCAGCCCUUUUAUUUGAGUUCCCCUAAAUAAGAUAUAAUACAACUAACUGCCUUCAGAAGUCACCUUAUUAUAAAACACAGUCCAUCUGUUUUAUUCAAUCUCUGUAUAAAUACAGUAGCUAUGAACAGGUUUGUGUCAGGGUCUGGGGUUCCCAUUUUAUUUUGUUGGAACGCCGUUGUUCCUCAUGGCAUCCACCAGAUGUCACCAGAUGCAGAGCCCCUGGGAAGCUGCUGGGUUCAACCCGUGUACACACCUGCAGCUCGUUUGGAGGUCGUGGACUAUGGAUAUAAGCAGCAGCUCCUCUUCUUCUCAUCGCCUGAGUGUUUGCUUACCUCGAUGUUCCUGCCGUCUCCUCGUUGCUCCCAUGUGUUCAGUGUGAGUCUGUUUCCCCGUUGUGGAUCACCUACCUCCUGUGUCCUCACUCAACGCUGUCGAUGUUACCGGUCAGACGCCACCCCUCGUGCUCAGUGAGCACCGGUCCCUUUCCGGUGGAUUCCCCUUCGGAAGCUUCCGGGUCAGGAGACCCAAGCCCGAACCCAACCAGAGAAAGAAUACUAUCGGACCGCAGUCAAAGCCACUCCUCCAGCCGUUAACAAACCUGUCCGCUCUCCAACGAAACCUAACCACCCAGUGCUCUGCUCAAGUUUCAUCACCUUCCUACCAAGUAAGAAAGAACCUGGAAAAUUCUCACCUUCACUUUCUAGCCCUGCUUCUCCUGUUGGCAGUAAGACGACCCGGUCAUCAGUUCCAGUACUCACUCCCCGAUUCCUUCCCUGACUUCAAUAAAACUUAUCCUUGUACAUUU